rnacentral:rRNA from 1 species
UGGGGAAUAUUGCACAAUGGGCGCAAGCCUGAUGCAGCCAUGCCGCGUGUGUGAAGAAGGCCUUCGGGUUGUAAAGCACUUUCAGCGGGGAGGAAGGCGAUAAGGUUAAUAACCUUGUCGAUUGACGUUACCCGCAGAAGAAGCACCGGCUAACUCCGUGCCAGCAGCCGCGGUAAUACGGAGGGUGCAAGCGUUAAUCGGAAUUACUGGGCGUAAAGCGCACGCAGGCGGUCUGUCAAGUCGGAUGUGAAAUCCCCGGGCUUAACCUGGGAACUGCAUUCGAAACUGGCAGGCUAGAGGCUUGUAGAGGGGGGUAGAAUUCCAUGUGUAGCGAUGAAAUGCGUAGAGAUCUGGAGGAAUACCGGUGGUGAAGGCGGCCCCCUGGACGAAGACUGACGCUCAGGUGCGAAAGCGUGGGGAGCAAACAGG